UACGUAGGUGGCAAGCGUUGUCCGGCAUUAUUGGGCGUAAAGCGCGCGCAGGCGGUCCUUUAAGUCUGAUGUGAAAGCCCACGGCUCAACCGUGGAGGGUCAUUGGAAACUGGGGGACUUGAGUGCAGAAGAGGAAAGCGGGAUUCCACGUGUAGCGGUGAAAUGCGUAGAGAUGUGGAGGAACACCAGUGGCGAAGGCGGCUUUCGGGUCUGUAACUGACGCUGAGGCGCGAAAGCGUGGGGAGCAAACAGG
rnacentral:rRNA from 1 species